CUUAAGAUCAACUGUUUGAAUUGCAAUUUGGUUCAUUUAUGCAUAAGAUAUAUUAACCAAAUAACAAGCCUCAAGGUGUAUCAUAAAGAUUUGUAUAUUUAAAUUUCAGAUGAUACCUAUUGGAGAGUAUUAGGAUCACUUCUCAUUCAGUGUUCUUUCUCUCUCCUUUAGUUAUGGAUUUAUGCGAUUAAGUUCCAUAUGAUCUCUCCCUCUAAAAUUUUCUUUCUCCCCCUUAAUUAUUCAUUCCAUUUAAGAGUUUAAAAUUUGAAGAUAGUGUCCAAUAAAAUUGUCAAACUCGAAAAUAUAUGUUCAAUAUAUUCUAUUUCCAUAAAGCUCAAAUUUUGAGAUAAAAUAACCUUUAUACAACUCAUCUCAAAGUACAAGCUUAUUAUGUAUUCAUGAAGUCAUGCAACACAAUGAGGUUUAUCAAAAUCAAUCCAAAAGCAUUCAAAAUAUUUAUCAAAUGGACGUGACAUUUUGGAUAAGAUACAGAAUGCAUUUAGAUUGAAUAUCUAAAGCUCCCCCUCAAAAGAUGCAUUCUUCUUUAAUUAUUCUAUAAUAUUAAAAAUGUAGAGUGAUC
rnacentral:lncRNA from 1 species